rnacentral:rRNA from 1 species
GACGAACGCUGGCGGCGCGCCUAACACAUGCAAGUCGAGCGAGAACCAGAGCUUCGGCUCUGGGGAAAGCGGCGAACGGGUGAGUAACACGUGGGUAAUCUGCCCUCGGCAUCGGGAUAGCCCGGGGAAACCCGGAUUAAUACCGAAUGGCCUCUCGCACUUUCGGGUGCGAAAGAAAAGGUGGCUUCGGCUUCUGGCCGAGGAUGAGCCCGCGGCCGAUUAGCUUGUUGGUGAGGUAAUGGCUCACCAAGGCUCCGAUCGGUAGCUGGUCUGAGAGGACGAUCAGCCACACUGGGACUGAGACACGGCCCAGACUCCUACGGGAGGCAGCAGUGGGGAAUCUUGCGCAAUGGGCGAAAGCCUGACGCAGCGACGCCGCGUGCGGGAAGAAGGCCUUCGGGUUGUAAACCGCUUUCAGGAGGGACGAAGCCACUCGCGUUAAUAGCGUAGAGGGUGACGGUACCUCCAGAAGAAGCCCCGGCUAACUACGUGCCAGCCGCCGCCGUAAAAC